rnacentral:tRNA from 1 species
UGAUCAGAGCUGAACAGAGAUCCACAGUCUUGGAAAGCGUGUUGGGGGCAACCCCUCAGGAGUUCGAAUCUCCUAUCCUCCGCCA